UACAGAGGUCUCAAGCGUUGUUCGGAUUCAUUGGGCGUAAAGGGUGCGUAGGCGGCGCGGUAAGUCGGGUGUGAAAUUUCGAGGCUUAACUUCGAAACUGCAUUCGAUACUGCCGUGCUUGAGGACUGGAGAGGAGACUGGAAUUUACGGUGUAGCGGUGAAAUGCGUAGAUAUCGGGAGGAACACCAGUGGCGAAGGCGGCGAUCUGGGCAGACACUGACGCUGAGGUGCGAAAGCGUGGGGAGCAAACAGGG
rnacentral:rRNA from 1 species